UUUUAAGACCAUUCUUAUUAGUUUUUCUUCAUGCUUAUUACUUUGCUUUUAUCAACAGUGAAUAACAGUAUUUAUAAGACAUUCUGCCACCACUCACAGCUAGCUCUUGAAACUGGAUGUCUGUGUGUAUAACAGGAAACUAGAGAAUACUUCCAUUGGAUUGCUUAAAAGACUGAAAAAUCAGAUCACGGCAGAACAGUGAAAGGUCUAUGAAAAACAGUUCUGCGUAUAACUGAUGUGAAAAGUUGCACAUCUAAGGAACACUGUUAGGAGUAAUAAAGGAGGAAAAUUGGCAAGAUCUUACUCUAUCAAAAGUAACCAGGUAAAUUUAAAUGCUUACACCUUUACCUAUAAAUGUAUACAUUCAUUUUGUAAGCACAAAUAUUUGAAUAAUGCUGGUCACCUUAAGUUGCCUUUAAAAACCUCGUAUACUUUGGAAGCAUAAACUACCUCAGGUCAAAAUUCAGUAUUUGCUUUAGAAAAUUUAUAGUAUACUUCAUAUAAACCAUGAUGAUGGAAGACACUAUAAAUGCUGUGGUCACCUUACUAUUUUACCAAAAAAUAAAAAAAUAAAAUAAAAAUAAAGGCA
rnacentral:lncRNA from 1 species